GAUGAAAAGUUAGCUACAGAAGUUCUCCAAACUAGACAGUCGUCUGCUAAGUAUGGCAGUAUUUACAAAAAUUGUAAAAUCUUCAAGAACUACAAGGACCUCAUUAAACUGCAGCCGGACGCAGUAUUCAUCGGAAUACCACCUGCCUACAGAGGGUCUUUUGGUGAGGGUAAAGAUCUGGAGCUUCAAUUUGCACGAGCAGGAAUACACGUGUUCGUAGAGAAGCCCCUUUCGGUAUUGCCACCAGAGGAGUUCAUGUCCUACGCUAAAGCUGUGACGGAGACGUGUACGGAGAAGAAUGUUAUUGUGUCUGUGGGAUACAUGUUCAGAUACCAUGCUGGCAUACUCAAGAUGAAGGAACUGAUAAAACAACAUGGGAGUAAGGUGAUGGCACUGAACGCGCGAUAUUACUUCGCCUACACUAAAGCUGUCAACAAGUACUGGUUCAACGAAGACUUCAGCGGGGGACCAAUAGUCGAGCAGGCCACUCACUUCUGCGACUUGGCGCGCUAUAUUGUCAGUGACGUAGAAAUAGACACGAUUCAUACUCUUCUACUCAAAGAUUCAGAUCCUAGCGGCGCAGGUCAUCUAGACUACGUACCCCAAGAAGCCGAGGACGACAUUACACCCGCCAAAAGAAUCCCAAGAGUUACAAUGAGCCACUGGCGAUUCAAAGAUGGCGGACUUGGAACACUGAUGCAUUCAGUUGCCCUUCCAGGAACAAGGUACGAAGCCAAUAUAGACGUUCAGCUAGACGGCCUCAAACUGUCGCUCAUUGAACCGUACGAGAAGGACUGCAUUCUACGAGUCCGCAGUAUCAAUAAUGAGGACGCUAACAAGGACCAAGACUUCACUUUUCCUUUUGACGAUUCGUACCUGACCGAGCUAGGGACCUUUAUAAAGGCCAUUCGUACAAACGACCCUUCUUUGGUGAAGAGUCCCUACAGUGACGCGGCUCUUACCUAUCAGAUGACAUGGGCCAUUCGGAGGGCGUCAUAGAACAAACCAUACAAUUUGUAGUUGAUCAUGAAUAUACCCAUGCAGAAAACGAUUAAUAAUAAUCAUCAAUGAAAUAUACAUUGCAUUAUUCUAAUGUUUUUAAUCAUUGUGUACCACUUUCUUCUAACAAAGAGUAAUACUAUAGAUAUAUAAUUUGCGUAAUUCAGUUUAUCAUAUGACACUUAGUUAUGAUAUGUGUAAUUCACUCAGUUUUGACAUGUCGUAUCACGCUUGAGGCUGUUUUGCCCAAAAGUCUUUGCCAGAAAAGUCACUGAAGUUUUCGCAACUCGCUAUGGCAGAAUUCUCAACCUGUAAAUGAACACGAAAUGAAAAAUGUAUGCAUGC
rnacentral:misc_RNA from 1 species